GACGUAUGGGGCGAGCGUUGUUCGGAAUUAUUGGGCGUAAAGGGUAUGCAGGCGGUUUGGUAAGUCUGGUGUGCAAGACCUCGGCUUAACUGAGGGAACGCACUGGAAACUGCUGAACUAGAGUACAGGAAGGGGAGUUGGAAUUCCAGGUGUAGGGGUGAAAUCUGUAGAUAUCUGGAAGAACAUCAGUGGCGAAGGCGAACUCCUGGCCAUGUACUGACGCUGAGAUACGAAAGCGUGGGGAGCAAACAGG
rnacentral:rRNA from 1 species